CAGAUCCAGUCUUCAUCUAUCUCUUUCCAUCUUGCUUUCUGAACGCGAUUCACGAUUCCACCCUCUUGCCAUCUUGUGUUGUUGAUGCCUUGCCUCACUUCAACUCGUCUCAGCCUCGUCCCGCCUCGCCUCGGACUCGUCUCGCUUCAGCUCGCAUCGAACUCGUCUCACCUCGGCCUCGUCUCGCCUUGCCUCGACCAUUCGUCGUCAAAACUCCAAAGGAAAAUGAACAAAGGAUAUGGUUUUCGGCUUGAUAUUCAAGCUAAGUCCAACAACGAAUUAAUGCGGCAAUAUAAAGUCAAGUUAGAAAAUGCUAAAUCUAUAAAAGAAAUGUUUAUUGCUACUCGAAAAAGUAAGAAAGGAAAGAAGUUAGAUCAAUAAAUCAAUCUUGCAAUUAUAAUGCUUCAAGACUUGAUUGAAAAAGAUGGACAAUCAUUUUUAGAAGCCUUUCAGAGUGUGUGUGGCAAAGAAAAACCUGAGAGAUUUCGUUGUCAUGGAAGAACUUCAACACCAACUCUCUUGAGAAGAAAUGAAGAAAUUGCAAAACUUAAAAGAGAAGAAGCUGAAGAGAUAAAACAGUUUAAUGAUAAGAUACAAGAGAUAGAGGAGAAACAACGUAAGAAAAUGAAAGCAAUGGAAGGAAAAUUUCAGCUUAUUGUUAAGACAAUGUUGAACUCAAAUACUGCAGAAUUGAAUAUAGAUACUUUAGCAGCUUUUUUUAUCAAUUCCGACUGAUGCUAACAGUACUCAACACAUGCUCCUAAUAGUAAUGAAAUGAAUGAUGGUGAUACCAAUGAUGAAUUUCAAUAUUUGAAAGCACAAGAUGAAGAACUAGAUGUUGAUACUUAAGUUUUCUUUGUGUAUUUUUUAUUUAUAGAUAAGGAAUUUUAUUUUUGUUAUUUUGAUUGUCUCCUUAUCUCUAGAAUAUAAAUUAGAAGAAUUGAAUCACUGCGAAUACAUCGUAUGAAUGAUCAAGAGUUACAACGUCUCACCUAUUUUGUUUGUUUGCUUGACACAUUGUUAACAUAGACAUAUCAUAUA